rnacentral:rRNA from 1 species
AUGACAGGUUGCAGAGAUAGAAGUUCUUGGAUGACGGACACAUCGUCACCAUCACGAGAGUUGGGACAACACACACAAGCAUAUGGUCAGGUUAUCUCUUUACCAUCAUUUGAGGAUAGAUUUAAUCCUGCUAUUUAUCUAGCUUGGGAGCUUGAAGUAGAACAAGUUUUUAGUCACCAUGAUUUUUCUGAACUUGAGAGAGUACGAGCUACCAUUAGAGCAUUUACUGGUUUUGCUUCUGUUUGGUGGAGUGUACAUUGUAAGAAAAACAUUGAUAACCAACCCACAACUUGGAAUGUUUUGAAAGCUGUAAUGAGACAACAAUUUUUCCCUCCUUAUUAUCGUCGUGAAUUGCUUCGCAAAUUUGAACAAUUUAAACAAGGCAACAACACUGUUCAUGCUUACUACCAAGAGUUCAAAUCUUAUAUGCAUCAUUGUGACAUAAAAGAAUCUGAGAAUGAUACAAUGAAUAGAUUUUUUGGUGGUUUGAACCAUGAUAUUCAGGCAAGAUUUCAGUAUAUUCCUCGUUGCAUUACUGGUAUGUAUGUCCGUGCUUGUACCUUUGAGAGACAGAUACAGGAGGAUGCAUUAGGUGACUACAAUAACUACUAUUCCAGUUCAUGCUCACCACCGCCGGUGGGUUCCUCCAUCAUUGCACCUCGGAUUAUGAGCGCGGCAUCAUCUCAAGGGUAUGGUACAUUGUCAACGUCCGUACCUACAUCAGCUACAUCUUUGCCACAAGGUAACAGUAAAGAUAUUGAUGAUAUAACUUCACAUGAGAAAGAUGCAUUCCUAGUUAACUUGAAUGCGUCAUGUAUUGAGUUACCUGUUGAUUUGAGCACACCACCUAUUUUAGAGAGUGAUCAAACAACUGAAAUAUCAACAAUUUUGAGUGCACCCAUUGAAUUAACUGUUGAUGCAAAAGAACUAAUGUUUAAUCAUUUUGAUAUGGCCUCCAAUCUUGGUGAUGAUUCUGUGUCCAAUGACUUAUUGCAUGUUUGCUUAUUUAAGCAUGUCGUAGCAUGUAAAUUUGAUGCAAGUAAGGUUUAUUCACCAAAGUUGGGAUGGUUUAAGGAUGAACAUUGCGAAUCUUUUGAAAUGAAUAAGAGCUUCACUUAUAUGUGCAAACUGAGUUCUAAUAUUUUCAUGCCUUCUACUUCUUGUGAUAAUUUUUUGGCUUUAGUUUUUAUGAACUAUGAAAGUUACUCGUGUAUACAUGUGUCAUACGUGCAAAAAUCAAGGGAAGUUAAACUGGAUGACAUAUACAUAUACAACAUGUACACCUUGUCUCUUUUGUUAGCCACAUUUCAGAUUAAGCAACGCCGAGGACGGCUUUGUUUUCAAAAAGGGGAGGAUGAUGAGGACAUGAAUACCUUGGAUACGACCAAAAAUAUUGCAUACAUGCAUAUUUGUCAGGUGAUUUCUAAUGCAAACUAUUCAAUAAUCUAUUUAUGUUAUCCAGAACAAAAAUACUUCACACACUUUUGUGUUUUGUCUAAUUGCAGGUGUAUGGGACAUUUGUACAAUCCACAUAUGAAGAUAAGGGAAAAGGAGAAGUUUAGGUUGUGUUCAAAAAGUCCUCUCACGUCAUUUUUGGGCCAAGAGAAGAUAGAGUCCAAGUCUCUCACGUUUUGGAUUCAGAUUCGGACUGCACAGACAUACCUGACUCAAAACGCCAACAACUUUUUCAUACGGACUUCGAAUUGGGUGAUUCUUUUUUUGUUGGAAACUAGAUUUCGUGCUCUUUCCAACCCAAUUGGAUUCACCUUCAAAUUCGUCCGGAGCGUUGAGUUACGGACGAAACAAUCUAACAUUGCAGUAGAAUCCGAGUCAAAUUACAAGCCCAAAGGUGUUGCAUCACCUCCACUUGGGCCCAUGAGCCUUGUACGACCUAGGGUUAGUUUUAGGCUGCCUUGGGACGUCCUCCCACCUCCUUGGCCGCCACCCCUUGCUCCUAUAUAA